UAUUAGCCCGUUCACAUGGCCAAAAAAAGAAGGCAUACCGUUUUUUUCGGAAAAAGCGGCAAAUAUUUGCUGAGUUACUUUCAAAAAAAGACAAAUUCGGGCCAAGUCGCGAGGUGGUGCAGACGAGAAAAGUCUCGAAAAAAAGAGGCAUUUCACAGCGAGCGCGUCAGUUCAUAUUUAGCUUUGAGGUUGCGGAUGCUUGUUUUACUAUUUGCAGUGAGGUUUUAGACAAUGUUUAGUUAUAAAUUAGUUUAAUAUAUAUGGUUUUCAACCAAAUACGAAGUUUCGGCUAGAAAUACUAAGUUUUCCUAUCUUUAGGAUGCAUUUAGUAUAAGAAACAGUACCGCAUAUAGUUUGUACAGGAUGAUUCUAAUUUGGCAAUGAGAAAGGAAGUGUGGUGCUACUUAGCAAUUAAUAAUCAAACUGCUAUAAUGCAGAUGUAGUUGAAAUAAUGAUUUUUUAACUAAAAAUUGUAUGUUGAAACAUUUACUUUGAAAUAUUGAUCAAAAUGGAUGGUGGACAGCAGCACAUUAAAUUUGUGUCUUAAUCACUACUGGAACAAGAGUUUGUAGAAGAAAAAUUGUGGACAACACCGGUACAUUUAGAAGCAAGAUGGAAACCGAAAGAGUGUGUGAAUUACAUGUAUCAGUUUGGAUAUACAUUCAUAAAUAAGCUACAGAGUGGUUUGUAAACCUAUCAUUUGAAGAUAAAGACAACAUACAUAACAUAAUACACAGUACUGACAUUAUACAUAGUACUGGGCUGCUGAAUCAAACCAACAAACUAAUCAUUGCUUUACCGUAAACAAGUGUAAUAGUAAAACACAAUGUGUGUGUAUUUUGUGCACAUAUGUGUAUAAUCAAAGCAGUUAUCAUUUACUUUCAAUGCCUUUAAAAGCACAUUCUGUUUUAUUUUGUACAUGAAAUGCACUUUUGUUAUUGUUUUCAUGGAGUUCAAUAAAACUAAAACAAAGAA